UACCAGCACCCCGAGUGGUCGGGACGAUUAUUGGGCCUAAAGCAUCCGUAGCCGGUUCUACAAGUCUUCCGUUAAAUCCACCUGCUUAACAGAUGGGCUGCGGAGGAUACUAUAGAGCUAGGAGGCGGGAGAGGCAAGCGGUACUUAGUGGGUAGGGUAAAAUCCGUUGAUCCAUUGAAGACCACCAGUGGCGAAGGCGGCUUGCCAGAACGCACUCGAACGGUGAGGGAUGGAAAGCUG
rnacentral:rRNA from 1 species